rnacentral:rRNA from 1 species
UACGUAGGCAGCGAGCGUUGUUCGGAAUUACUGGGCGUAAAGAGUGUGUAGGCGGUGCUCUAAGUUCGGUGUGAAAUCUCCCGGCUUAACUGGGAGGGUGCGCCGGAAACUGGAGUGCUCGAACGUGGGAGAGGAAAGCGGAAUUCCUGGUGUAGCGGUGAAAUGCGUGGAUAUCAGGAGGAACACCUGCGGUGUAGACGGCUUUCUGGACCAUUGCUGACGCUGAGACACGAAAGCGUGGGUAGCAAACAGG